GGAUUAGGCAUGCAAGUCGUACGAGAAUCGUAGCUUCGGCUACCAGGAGAGUGGCGAACGGGUGAGUAACGCGUGGGUAAUUUACCUUUGAGACUGGAAUAACAACCCGAAAGAGUUGCUAAUACCGGAUACGAUUGUGAGUACUUCGGCAUUCACAAUGAAAGGUGGAUUCAUUUAUGGGUCUGCCGCUCAAAGAUGAGCCCGCGUCCUAUUAGCUAGUUGGUGAGGUAACGGCUCACCAAGGCAACGAUGGGUAGCUGGCCUGAGAGGGUGGUCAGCCACAUUGGGACUGAGAUACUGCCCAAACUCCUACGGGAGGCUGCAGUCGAGAAUAUUUCGCAAUGGGGGAAACCCUGACGAUGCGACGCCGCGUGCGGGAUGAAGGCCCUCGGGUUGUAAACCGCUGUGUUAUGGGAAGAACCGCUAGUUGGUGAUAAGCCAGUUAGCUUGACGGUACCAUAGUAGAAAGCCCCGGCUAACUCACGUGCCAGCAGCCGCGGUAAUACGUGGGGGCUAGCGUUGUCCGGAAUUACUGGGCGUAAAGCGCGCGUAGGCGGUCAUAUCAGUCAAGUGUGAAAUUGCUUGGCUCAACCAAGCAACUGUGCUUGAUACUGUGUGGCUUGAGUACGGAAGAGGAAAGUGGAAUACACGGUGUAGCGGUGAAAUGCGUAGAUAUCGUGUAGAACACCAGUGGCGAAGGCGGCUUUCUAGUCCGAUACUGACGCUGAGGUGCGAAAGUCUGGGGAGCAAACGGGAUUAGAUACCCCGGUAGUCCAGACCGUAAACGAUGGGUACUAAGUGUAGGGAAUGUUUAUAUUCUCUGUGCUGUAGCUAACGCAUUAAGUACCUCGCCUGGGGAGUACGGCCGCAAGGUUAAAACUCAAGGUAAUUGACGGGGGGCCGCACAAGCGGUGGAGCAUGUCGCUUAAUUCGAAGCAACGCGAAGAACCUUAUCCAGGGCUUGACAUCUUAGUGACCGCCAUAGAAAUAUGGUCUUCCUUCGGGACACUAUGACAGGUGCUGCAUGGCUGUCGUCAGCUCGUGUCGUGAGAUGUUGGGUUAAGUCCCGCAACGAGCGCAACCCUUGUCUUUAGUUGCCAUCAGGUAAUGCUGGGGACUCUAAAGAGACCGCUGGUGACGAGCCAGAGGAAGGUGGGGAUGACGUCAAGUCCGCAUGGCCCUUAUGCCCUGGGCUGCACACGUGCUACAAUGGUCGGUACAGAGGGUUGCCAAACCGCGAGGUGGAGCGAAUCCCAAAAAGCCGGCCCCAGUUAGGAUUGCAGUCUGCAACUCGACUGCAUGAAUCUGGAAUCGCUAGUAAUCGCGAAUCAGCAGGUCGCGGUGAAUACGUUCCCGGCCCUUGUACACACCGCCCGU
rnacentral:rRNA from 1 species